CAUGCAAGUCGAGCGAGAAAGUGACUUCGGUCACGAGUAAAGCGGCGAACGGGUGAGUACAACGUGGAUAAUCUACCCUAAGGUCCGGGACAACCCCGAGAAAUCGGAGCUAAUACCGGAUAAGACCACAGUAUCCGAGGAUACAGCGGUAAAAGAUUUAUCGCCUUUGGAUGAGUCCACGUCCCAUCAGGUAGUUGGUAAGGUAAAAGCUUACCAAGCCUAAGACGGGUAGCCGGCCUUAGCGGGUGAGCGGCCACAUGGGGACUGAGACACGGCCCUGACUCCUACGGGAGGCAGCAGUGGGGAAUAUUGGGCAAUGGGCGAAAGCCUGACCCAGCGAUGCCGCGUGAGGGAUGAAGGCCCUCGGGUUGUAGACCUCUGUCAGGAGGGACGAUGGGACACUUGUGUCUUGACGGUACCUCCAGAGGAAGCCCCGGCUAACUCCGUGCCAGCAGCCGCGGUAAUACGGAGGGGGCAAGCGUUGCUCGGAAUUACUGGGCGUAAAGGGUCCGCAGGCUGUCAGGCAAGUUGGUUGUGAAAGCUCAAGGCUUAACCUUGGAAUUGCAUCCAAAACUGCCUGACUAGAGUCCAAGAGAGGUUGGCGGAAUUCCCGGUGUAGCGGUGAAAUGCACAGAUAUCGGGAGGAACACCAGAGGCGAAGGCGGCCAACUGGCUUGGAACUGACG
rnacentral:rRNA from 1 species